CCGUCAAGACUCUCCCCGCCGACCGCGUCAGCGUAUCGUAUUCGGAGCGAGACUCGCCCAUUCAGAACAUCCACAACAUCUCCAGCGAGAGUCACGUGACCAGCAGUCUGGGCGACACCUUCGACUCCAUGAACUCCAUGAUGUCCAAGAGCGAAACCAUCUCCACCUUGUCCAUGAGUUCUUUGGAGGUCAGUGAGGGGAGGCAGAAAUCUCGUUACGCAGAACUGGAUUUUGAGAAAAUCAUGCACACACGGAAACGCCAUCAGAACAUGU